UCACCAUGUUGGCCAGGCUGGUCUUGAACUCCUGAUGAACUGUAUUUUUAUUUUUGCUAACACCUGCGUCUUCUACCCCAGCCUUGCUUGGGUGAUGGUCCCACCAGGUCUCCAAGCUGGACUCCUCACUGCUUCUCAUUCCCAGAAUUUACCUGCUGGCGAAGCCUCUGGCUGGAAUCUCCCAGUUCAUCCUCCCUCUCCACACCUGUGAUCUCUGCAGAGGUACUAUCAUUGCCCCACUUUACAGAUGAAGAAACAGAGGCUUCGGCCGCUUGCCCGAGAUCCUGCGGCUGUUCUGGAGGUCAGACAUCUAAAAUCAAGGUGUCAACAGGACUGCGUUCCUUUCUGGAGGAAACAGCUUUCAUGCCUGCGGUUCCCUCAUCGGCGCAUAAGCUCUUCCACCAUGUUUCUACUGACCUUUCCUGACCCCCACGGCUGGGUCAGGGCCCUGUGCAGUCCCCGACACGGCGCUGAUGGCCCAGUGAUGGCAUUGCCAGGUGACAUGUCCCUCUGCCUGACCCCCACCCUGGGCACUGGGAGCCCCUCAAGGGCUGGGACCAGGUGGGUCUUGGUGACUGCUCCGUCCCAACGCCUGGCUUUGGGCCCUGCAUGCAGCUGUUACUAAAUGAGUAUUUAUUGAAUGUGCAAAGACACGGACCCUCUGCCCCCCACCCACACAGCGAA